UACAGAGGUCUCAAGCGUUGUUCGGAUUCAUUGGGCGUAAAGGGUGCGUAGGCGGCGCGGUUAGUCGGGUGUGAAAUCUCGGGGCUUAACUCCGAAACUGCAUUCGAUACUGCCGUGCUUGAGGACUGGAGAGGAGACUGGAAUUUACGGUGUAGCGGUGAAAUGCGUAGAUAUCGUAAGGAAGACCAGUGGCGAAGGCGGGUCUCUGGACAGUUCCUGACGCUGAGGCACGAAGGCCAGGGGAGCAAACGGG
rnacentral:rRNA from 1 species